UACGGGAGGCAGCAGUGGGGAAUAUUGCACAAUGGGCGCAAGCCUGAUGCAGCCAUGCCGCGUGUAUGAAGAAGGCCUUCGGGUUGUAAAGUACUUUCAGUCGUGAGGAAGGUGUUAAGGUUAAUAACCUUAGCAAUUGACGUUAGCGACAGAAGAAGCACCGGCUAACUCCGUGCCAGCAGCCGCGGUAAUACGGAGGGUGCGAGCGUUAAUCGGAAUUACUGGGCGUAAAGGGCACGCAGGCGGUUAAUUAAGUUGGAUGUGAAAUCCCCGGGCUUAACCUGGGAAUGGCAUUCAAGACUGGUUAGCUAGAGUCUUGUAGAGGGGGUAGAAUUCCAUGUGUAGCGGUGAAAUGCGUAGAGAUGUGGAGGAAUACCGGUGCGAAGGCGGCCCCUGGACAAAGGACUGACGCUCAUGUGCGAAAGCGUGGGGAGCAAACAGGGAUUAGAUACC
rnacentral:rRNA from 1 species